GUCUCAAACCCUAACCCUACUAUUAUGCAUCGGCCGCCACCCCACCUCCUCUUCAUCCUCCAGCCGCCAUCGUCGGUUUUCCCUCUUGUGCUCCGACCGCCGCUUAAAGCGUGAGCCACCACCGCCAUGUGAGGCCUCAUCCGCCACCCGCAGCUUGCCAUGAGAACGCCACCAGCCCUACUGCCGCCGGAAAAGUCGCAAAUAGCUUAGAUCAUCGUGUGGGUCGCCGGAAAGCCUAGAUGCGAGGCUGCUGCUAUGCUCGGUUGGUUUCGCACCACCACCUCCCUUCUCCAUUCCUUUCCAAGCGCCGCUGCUGCCGGUUGUUGCUCUACUCCCAUCGCCACUCACCACAGAUGGGUUUUUUUGAGUCCUUUUCCGAGCAAGGACUUUCUGGUGGGUGUUGCUGCUUAACGGGGAAUGGAAAGAAACCGUCGCCACCACCGUGAGGUGGUGGCUGUCACCGCAAUCCAUCAUUUUGUCGCCGUUGUGUUGUCGCUGCCGUCGCAAAUCACCGCCCGCCGCCUCCAGAUUGAUGAUGGUUCGGGAAUCUGUUAACCAGCAGUUGGAGUUUUAUUGGCGGGACUUCAGCAGUGUCAGGUAUUUCUGAUGAUCGCAGGAAGGCGAAGGCGUGAUCGUGCACCUCCUUAUAUUUUCAUGAUUGAUUCUGGGGAUAUUCUGAUGUCUAAACUAUUUUGAAAACAAAUUGUAAUGACUUAGUGGUUUUAAAUGUUU